UGCCAUCCAUCGGUCUGGGGGCUGA
rnacentral:misc_RNA from 1 species